UCCGCAUUGAUGUGAAACCCUGCUUCUGCCCGUCUCGGUUUGAAGUUGGAGAAAGAAAUAGGUUUGACUAAACUCCAGAGAGUGUGAAGUAAAAUCCACCACGCUGCUCCACCGUAUAAUUUCCCAGUGGUCUUGGCUGUUUCUUCUCUCACAUGCACGCUCCUGUUUUUCUCCCCUCUUCCCCUCAUUGCAAAAUGAAUCAUGGAUCCAGCCGCGUGCACCCGAGGGAGAGCAGCGAGCUGACCAAUCAUGAGCAUCAGAAACACACACACAAACGCAGUCAGCCUUUUGUUGUGUGGCUCAUCAACUCUGAAGACAACUACCCGUUUGAACAAGAGGAAAUCAAAACUCCAGUGGUCAGUGUGACUCUGUCCGAGUGGGUGGCAGACUCCAGCGUCAUUCACAGUGUCAGCUGGGACCAGAGUGCCCUCCUAUUCCCAGGCUGGCCAACCCUAUGUGAAGCCUCCUGACAGUUUCAGGUUAGCCCCGUCUCCCCUCUCUCCUCUACCCCUUCAGCUCUGCUCAGUGCUUCUCCCAAGGGCCCCGCUGAGAAUACUGCUCAGAUCCAGGCCUC